UAAGGAAUAUUGGUCAAUGGGCGCAAGCCUGAACCAGCCAUGCCGCGUGCAGGAAGACGGCCCUACGGGUUGUAAACUGCUUUUGUACCGGAAUAAACCUUCUCUCGUGAGAGAAGCUGAAUGUACGGUAAGAAUAAGGAUCGGCUAACUCCGUGCCAGCAGCCGCGGUAAUACGGAGGAUCCAAGCGUUAUCCGGAUUUAUUGGGUUUAAAGGGUGCGUAGGCGGUUCUUUAAGUCAGGGGUGAAAGACGGUAGCUUAACUAUCGCAGUGCCUUUGAUACUGAAGAACUUGAAUACACUUGAGGUAGGCGGAAUGUGACAAGUAGCGGUGAAAUGCAUAGAUAUGUCACAGAACACCAAUUGCGAAGGCAGCUUACUAAAGUGUCAUUGACGCUGAGGCACGAAAGCGUGGGGAUCAAACAG
rnacentral:rRNA from 1 species